ensembl:lncRNA
UUGCAAAUCAUUGUUGGCUGACUGCAGCAGCAGUAGUACGGGUUCGACUAGCCAAAACCAAUGAAUAUAGUUGGACACGAAUGUUUGAUCUUGAACAGAACUUACAACAUCAAUCAAAAUUGUACAGAAAAUAGUGGGUCUGUACCUGAACAAAUGUAAAAUAAUAUUUUUUUGCUGAGAUGGCCAGUCAAUUUGAGUAACGUCAUUGUAUUAUUCGUAAUGACACAGUUUUCAUUACGUUCUCACAAUGACAUCGCAACGUCAAUUAGCAACAAAUCAACCUGCCUCGAUGCGAUCACCAUAUAAAUUAAACGAUGAAAAAGCCUGGAAGGAGGAGAGAUGACUAGAAACGAUUCGGUUGGCCGGUUUGUGUGGAUUAAUUGUCGGAGUAGAGGUCCUUGUGCAUUUCAGGUGGGUCAGCUAUGGCGGUGGCGGUCUAUGAAGAAACUGAAUGCAGAAAACUGCCCUGCACAGGACACAAAUCUUCCACCAGAAACAAGCUCAGCACUGGAAUCUGGUACCUCCAUCUCUAGCAGUAGAGAGGUGUUGCCAGCUCCACCAACAGCUAUCCUGGAGAAUAUGAAUGAAUCUGGAGAGCUAAACCUGAACUUGGCUGAGGGAGGCAAGGGUGGGGGAAGAGUGUAGAGAGGGUAUUCACUGGUGAUGAGGAUACAAGUGGGAUUGUUAAAGAGCUGAGUUGGAACUCCGGUUACCGUGAUAAGGAGGAAAGGAGAGAUGCUUUCUCAGAGGGUGUGAGUGACACAGUCAGUGCAGAGUGGAGAGAGGGAGACUGCUUUGUCCCAGUUGGAGUAGAGGUGACUGAGAUGGCUGCUGAGGGGGAGUUUGAAGAUGGGAUGAGAGCUGAAAUGAAAGAGGGAAAGGGGACAAACAGUUAUGAGUCAGGGGAGGAGUUGGUUGCUGAGAGGGCUGUGAAGAGAAAGAUACAGAGGGAAAACUAGUCCUAGAGAAAGAACACAAGGUGGCUCCCAAGAGGAAGAAUAUAAGGAAACGCAGACGAUCAGCCAAACCUCAAUGUGACAAAGAGGCAAAUUCCAGUGCUUCCUUUGUAGAGACUGUUCUCUCAUGGCUACUGUCAGUCUUCCUAUGGCUGCAGGCAUUCUCACCAACAAUGUUAUGCUGGUCCCCAAAUAGUUUAUUUUGUAUAGUCAUGCUCGGGGUGGCAUCUGGCACUGGGGGUGUCUUUACAAGCACCGAUCACCAGAGUUUGUCAUGCAUCGCCUGCAAGAGUCCUGGAUGUGCUGCUGAUGUGACUAAGAUAUGGUGUGGAGAGGAUGAACUGUUGAAGGGGUUUACUGAUCCCACUCUGCACAAGCAUUUCCCAAAAGUCCAAGACUGUUUGCCAGCAUGCUGGUCGGACAUUUGUGCUUAUGAUUGAAGAGGGCAAGAAGUGUGAUAUGGAACAAUAUCAUGACCAUGUGCCCUCUGAAAAGACAGAGUGUCCAUCAUUGUUGGAGGCUGCUCAAGACUCAAGGUUGGACACUGUUCGAGGCAAGCUAUCUGUCCAUAGGGUCUGUUUGUUUAUGCAACACAGACAAAAACAUGUUUCUGAGUUAACUUAAAAUAUUACAUUUUCAUCGUUUAGUUUUUGUGAAUCUUAUUUAAUUUUUUCUCUUGUUCUUUACAUAGGUGACACCACUUUGUCAGCACCAACUCUCAAUGGUGAGCUAUAACAGAAGGGUUAGGUUUUAACUGUGUAUUAUUCUGAAUUAUUAACUAGGUAGUUCGAGCCCUGAAUGCCGAUUGGCUGACAGCUGUGGUAUAUCAGACCGUAUUCCACGGAUAUGACAGAACAUGUAUUUUUACUGAUCUAAUUACAUUGGUAACCAGUUUAUAGUAGCCAUAAGGCACCUCAGGGGUUUGUGGUAUAUGGCCAAUAUGUCACGGCUAAGGUCUGUAUCCAGGCACUCCAUGUUGCAUUGUGCAUAAGAACAGGCCUUAGGCGGGGUAUAUUGGCCAUAUACCAUAUCGAGUCGUGGCUGAACGACUACGCGGACAAUAUAGAGCUGGAGGGAUUUUCAAUGCACCGGCAGAACCGAGAAGCUAUGUCUGGUAAGACAAGGGGUGGGGUUGUGUCUUUUUAUCAAUAACAGCUGGUGCACGAUGUCUAAUAUAAAACAAGGGAUUGCUCGCCUGAGGUAGAGUACCUUAUCAUAAGCUGUAGACCACACUAUCUACCAAGAGUUCUCAUCUAUAUUAUUCGUAGCCGUCUACAUACCACCACAGACCGAUGCUGGCACUAAGAGCUCACUCAACCAACUCUAUAAGGCCAUAAGCAACAAAGAAAAUGCUCACCUAGAAGUGGCACUCCUAGUGGCCUGGGACUUUAAUGCAGGCAAACUUAAAUCUGUUUUACCAAAUUUUUACGAGCAUGUCACAUGUGCAACCAGAGGGGGGAAAAAAACUCUAGACCACCUUUACUCCACACAUAGAAACGCAUACAAAGCUCUCCCCCGCCCUCCAUUUGGCAAAUCUGACCAUAGUUCUAUCCUCCUGAUUCCUGCUUACAAGAAAAAAUGAAAUCAGGAAGUACCAGUGACUCGCUCAAUACAGAAGUGGUCAGAUGAUGCGGAUGCUACGCUAAAGGACUGUUUUGCUAGCACAGACUGGAAUAUGUUCUGGGAUUCAUCCAAUGGCAUUGAGGAGUAUAUCACCUCAGUCAUCGGCUUCAUCAAUAAGUGCAUCAACAACGACGUCGUCUCCACGGUGACCGUACGUACAUAUCCAAACCAGAAGCCAUGGAUUACAGGCAACAUCUGCAUCGAGCUAGAGGCAGGGCUUAAACUAUUACGGACUACAAAGGGAAACCCAGACACGAGCUGCCCAGUGACGCGGGCCUACCGGAGGAGCUAAAUGCCUUUUUAUGCUCGUUUCAAGGCAAGCAACACUGAAGCAUGCACGAGAGCACUAGCUGUUUGGAUGACUGUGUGAUAAUGCUCUCGGUAGCCAAUGUGAGAAAGACCUUUAAACAGGUCAACAUUCACAAAGCUGCGGAGCCAGAUGGAUUACCAGGACAUGUACUUGUACCAGACCUUCAGUUUCUUGGCAAUUUCUCACAUGGAAUAGCCUUCAUUUCUCAGAACAAGAAUAGACUGAUGAGUUUCAGAAGAAAGUUAUUUGUUUCUGGCCAUUUUGUGCCUGUAAUCGAACCCAUAAAUGCUGAUGCUCAAGAUACUCAACUAAUCUAAAGGACAGUUUUAUUGCUUCUUUAAACAGAACAACAGUUUACAGCUGUGCCAACAUAAUUGCAGAAGGAAUUUCUAAGAAUCAGUUAGCCUUUUUAAAAUGAUAAACUUGGAUUAGCUAACACAACGUGCCUUUGGAACACAGGAGUGAUGGUUGCUGAUAAUGGGCCUCUGUACACCUAUGUAGAUAUUCCAUUAAAAAUCAGCUGUUUCCAGCUAUAAUAGUCAUUUACUACAUUAACAAUGUCUACACUGUAUUUCUGAUCAAUUUGAUGUUAUUUUAAUUGACCAAAAAUGUGUUUCUUUCAAAAACAAGGACAUUUUAUAAAUGACCCCAAACUUUUGAACGGUAUUGUAUGUGAGAAUGCUGUUCAUUGACUACAGCUCAGCAUUCAACACCAUAGUCCCCACGAAGCUCAUCACUAAGCUAAGAACCCUGGGACUAAAUACCUCCCUCUGCAACUGGAUCCUCGACUUGCUGACUGUCUGUCCCCAGGUGGUAAGGAUAGGCAACCACACGUCUGCCACGCUGAUCCUCAACACUGGGGCCCUUCAGGGGUGUGUACUUAGUCCCCUCCUGUACUUCCUGUCCACCCACGACUGCGUGGCCAAACACGACUGCAACACCAUCAUUAAGUUUGCUGACUACACAACAGUGAUCACUGACAACGAUGAGACGGCCUAUAGGGAGGAGGUCAGAGAACUGGCAGUGUAGUGCCAGGACAAGAACCUCUCCCUCAACGUGAGCAAGACAAAGGCGCUGAUCGUGGACUACAGGAAAAGGUGGCCGAACAAGUCCCCUUUAACAUUAACUGGGCUGUAGUGGAGCGGGUCGAUAGUUUCAAGUUCCUUGGUGUCCACAUCACCAAUGAUCUAUCAUGGUCCAAACACACCAAGACAGUCAUGAAGAGGGCACGACAAAACCUUUUUCCCCCUCAGGAGACUGAAAAGAUUUGGCAUGGGUCCCCAGAUCCUCAAAGUUCAACAGCUGCAUCAUCGAGAGCUCUGGUUGCAUCACCACCUGGUAUGGCAACUGCUCAGCAUCUGACCAUAAGGCGCUACUGAGGGUGGUGCGUAUGGCCCAGUACAUCACUGGAGCCAAGCUUCCCGCAAUCCAGGACCUAUAUAAUAGCCAUACGACUGCUGAACAAUUAAUCAAAUGGCCAUCAGACUAUUACAUUUACAAUCCCCCCUUUGUUUUGUAUACUGCUGCUAACUGUUUAUUACCUAUGCAUAGUCACUUCACCCCUACCUACAUGUACAAAUUACCUGUACCCACGCACACUGACUCGGUACCGGUACCCCCUGUAUAUAGCCUAUUUAUUGUUAUGUUAUUAUUAUUUUUUACUUUAGUUUAUUUGGUAAAUAUUUUCUUAACUCUUCUUGAACUGCACUGUUUAAGGACUUGUAAGUAAACAUUUCAUGGUAAGGUCUACACUUGUUGUAUUCGGUGCAUGUGACAAAGGUUGAUUUGAUUCAACAGCUGAUAUGACUACCUCACCACCACCUGAAAAUGGUAAGAUCCAAUAGACAGAAUUACAAAGGUCAAACUGCCAUGUUUGUGCAAUUAAACAGUUUGUGAUUUUCUGUUCCCAUAGGUUCAUUGUUCGUCGGAGUCAUUGUCAUUUUAGUUAUUGGUACAUUUCAUUGAAAAGUGGGGGGGGGGGGACAAGCCUUUUGCUCCCUUGUUUCUUGCCAAUGGAAUGCUCUCCCUUACCCUCUGAGUGCUGCUCCACCAAUCCAAGCUUUUAAAAUGGGCCUUUAAAACCCACUUCUACAGACUUUUUCUCAUAGGUCUAAUCCCAAUCUGAAAACUGUUUUUUUUUUUGUGCAUCUAGCCCAUUUGCAUUUUUCUUUGCUUAAGUAGAGCCUUGAGAAGGACUCUAAGGAAAAGCACUAUGCACAUUAAAUGCAUUAUUAUUAAUAUUAGAUGGCUCUGCUACUGCUUUUCCUGUCGCCGCUGGCAUGGCUGUAGUUAAUCCUUUACUUGUAUUGCUAAAGUACUUCUACAGAAUAUGUCUUAUAAACAUGAAUUUGUAUAUUUUGUGAAGCGGGUCUUGCAGGCAUAACUAAUAUCAAUGAUUGCUUGAGGGCUAAGCUUUGAUGCUGCUGUAUCUGCUGCUGCUCUUGCCAUGGUCUCCUGUAUUCUUCUUCUGUUUAUUUCCUGGGCUUGAUUGCCUGACACUGCAGGGAUUAUCCUGUUACGAGGUGAGAUAUUAGUUUCUUUAGAAUAUCUUCCACAUUAUAUUCACCUGAUACUUAAUCAGUUCCAUGUUGAAAUUAUUGCUUCAUCUAUAGUUCCAGGUGCAGUUUAGCACCAUUAGAGCUUGCAUUACUCCUCUCAAAUGCUAGGAUCACAGUAUUAAGUCUUUGAAAGUAAUGUUUUUGAUUAAUUGGCACUUUUCUCUGUCAGGCUUUAUUGGUGUCGUUGUUGCAGUCUAUUUGAUCAGACAAAAGCAGCAGGGUGCCAGUAGAAACCAAGAUGAAGAGACUGAGAUGAGUGCUCUGAACAACGGUAUCAAUCAGAAUGGAGGUCCUGCCAAUAGAGACCAUAAUGAAGAGGUGGCUGUGAACAUGUUUGACAAUGGGGGAGCCAUCGGCAGUAAUGAGGGCCCGUGGAGCUGUCUCCGGCAGCAUGGUUAGCAAAGAGACUAUGGUACUAAUUGACCUGGCUCGUCUAUGAAGUGCCACAUUUUGAACAUGAACAUAAAAAACACAUCUUACAUUUUCAUUUCAACAGAGUGCGUGUUUGUGUAACUUGUGUUUUCAACAUAUUUCAGUGUGGAACAUAGAUGGCAUAAGACCCUGAUUUUAUUGAUCAGUGAAAAUGGAAUGCAAAUUAUUAAGGGAACUGCUUUGGGGCUUCACAUUUUUUGCUUUUUUUCCCAUCCUAUGGCUUACCUGUCCAUAUUUGUUCAAAUAAAUGAAAGAAUUAUGAACAAUUAGGUUGUCAUUCAAUCAACUCUAUGUUAAUUGCAGCAAUUAUAUAUGAGUUAUUCUACUUUUAAUUGUAGCCCUUGAGAUUUUGAGUGAACUCUGAUUUGGUUUUCACAUGCAUUUCUUUAUCCUUACUAGCAGAUUUUGAAAGUUUUAUGUUGAUACUUCACUUGAAUAGCUGUAGACACAUGACCUUAUACAUUUUUUAUCAUUAUGUAAUCUUUUGGGUAAGUUUGAGGAAAUCUCCUUGUAACCUGUCAAUAAUAAAACCUCAUAACACACUGUGUUUAACAUUCAUAAAACCCUA